GAUGAACGCUAGCGGCAGGCCUAAUACAUGCAAGUCGAACGAUAUUUCCCAGCUUGCUGGGAGAAAAAGUGGCGCACGGGUGCGUAACGCGUAUGCAACCUACCUUAAUCAGGGGGAUAGCCCGAAGAAAUUCGGAUUAACACCGCAUAAAAUCACAGUAUAGCAUUAUACAAUGAUCAAAUAUUUAUAGGAUUAAGAUGGGCAUGCGUGACAUUAGUUAGUUGGCGGGGUAACGGCCCACCAAGACCACGAUGUCUAGGGGAUCUGAGAGGAUGACCCCCCACACUGGUACUGAGACACGGACCAGACUCCUACGGGAGGCAGCAGUAAGGAAUAUUGGUCAAUGGAGGCAACUCUGAACCAGCCAUGCCGCGUGCAGGAAGACAGCCCUCUGGGUCGUAAACUGCUUUUAUUCGGGAAUAAACCUCAUUACGUGUAUUGAGCUGAAUGUACCGAAGGAAUAAGGAUCGGCUAACUCCGUGCCAGCAGCCGCGGUAAUACGGAGGAUCCAAGCGUUAUCCGGAUUUAUUGGGUUUAAAGGGUGCGUAGGCGGCUUUUUAAGUCAGGGGUGAAAGACGGUAGCUCAACUAUCGCAGUGCCCUUGAUACUGAAGAGCUUGAAUGGACUAGAGGUAGGCGGAAUGUGACAAGUAGCGGUGAAAUGCAUAGAUAUGUCACAGAACACCGAUUGCGAAGGCAGCUUACUAUGGUUUAAUUGACGCUGAGGCACGAAAGCGUGGGGAUCAAACAGGAUUAGAUACCCUGGUAGUCCACGCCCUAAACGAUGAAUACUCGCUGUUAGCGAUACACAGUUAGCGGCUAAGCGAAAGCGUUAAGUAUUCCACCUGGGGAGUACGGUCGCAAGAUUGAAACUCAAAGGAAUUGACGGGGGCCCGCACAAGCGGAGGAGCAUGUGGUUUAAUUCGAUGAUACGCGAGGAACCUUACCCGGGCUUGAAAGUUAGUGAAUCAUUUAGAGAUAGAUGAGUCCGCAAGGACACGAAACUAGGUGCUGCAUGGCUGUCGUCAGCUCGUGCCGUGAGGUGUUGGGUUAAGUCCCGCAACGAGCGCAACCCCUAUGUUUAGUUGCCAGCACGUCAUGGUGGGGACUCUAAACAGACUGCCUGUGCAAACAGAGAGGAAGGAGGGGACGACGUCAAGUCAUCAUGGCCCUUACGUCCGGGGCUACACACGUGCUACAAUGGAUGGUACAGAGGGCAGCAAGCUGGUAACAGCAAGCAAAUCUCCAAAAGCCAUUCACAGUUCGGAUAGAGGUCUGCAACUCGACCUCUUGAAGUUGGAUUCGCUAGUAAUCGUAUAUCAGCAAUGAUACGGUGAAUACGUUCCCGGGCCU
rnacentral:rRNA from 1 species